rnacentral:lncRNA from 1 species
AAUGUUAAGGAAACUCUUAUCUCAGUCAUGCAUAAAUAUGCAGUGGUAUGGCAGAAGACACCAGAGCAGAUGCAGACAGCCAUUUUGUGAAUGGAUUGGAUUAUUUAAUAACAUUACCUUACUGUGGAGGAAGGAUUGUAAAAAAAAAUGCCUUUGAGACAGUUUCUUAGCUUUUUAAUUGUUGUUUCUUUCUAGUGGUCUUUGUAAGAGUGUAGAAGCAUUCCUUCUUUGAUAAUGUUAAAUUUGUAAGUUUCAGGUGACAUGUGAAACCUUUUUUAAGAUUUUUCUCAAAAGUUUUGAAAAGCUAUUAGCCAGGAUCAUGGUGUAAUAAGACAUAACGUUUUUCCUUUAAAAAUUUUAAGUGCGUGUGUAGAGUUAAGAAGCUGUUGUACAUUUAUGAUUUAAUAAAAUAAUUCUAAAGGAAAUUGUGUAAUUAUAGACUUUUUAUUUUAAAUAAGUUAAGGAGUGGGUAGUAUAAUUAAGGUCCAUUGCAAAGCUGUUGUUGUAUUUGUGUAAGAUAAAAAUGCUGGUCAGAUUUAAGUGUGUUGUCUGAAAUUCAUCAGGAAUAAAUUACCUAGUUAACUUAAGGGAUAUCUCUGCAAAGAGAAACACCUUUUUAGAUCUUUUAGAUGCUGCUUCUUCAAUGCAAGGAAAGGAAAUAACCCCAGCGAGGUACUCUUCAGGGACACAGGUCUAGUACAAGAGAACUCUUGACGACUAAUCGCAGCCAGUCUUAAAAAACUGUGCUGUAUCUACAAAGCUUUAACUACAGUAGUUGAUAAGGAUGCCAACGAAAGCUGAGGGUGUAGAGCAAAGUAGUUCUAAGCUUCAGUUAAACUUCUUUAGGUAAGAACUUAUUUACUUUUUCUUUCUUAAUUUUCCUCCCUUAAAAGAUAAACUAAUAAACUCUUCAAUGGUCUUUUCAGUAUAGUUCUUAUGUAGUUUAACAUAGCUUAUAAAUUGAGUUUAACAAUAAACUCAAGAUAAUUUUAUAAACCCUGUUUUCCAAUCUGUCAUUUACUUAAAUUAUUUUGGUUGUUUUCCCUUUUUUUCCUUCUUUCUCACCCCCUCCCUUUCCAUGAAGAUUCAGGUGCUUAACAUAUCAUUUUUUUCCCUGCUGGAAUUUUAGCAUUGAUAUGAACCAUGGACAAGUAUAUUCUGCUGCCACAAAGACUGUAAAGUGCUUCAUUUCAACAGCUGAGGCAAGCCAAGUGAUCAUUAAUAAAGCUUUUCUUGCUUCCUUCAGUGGUGUUGGUAGUAAAAUGGAAGGUGUCUUGCUGCAGGUAACUAAUGAAGAAGUGGUCAACCACAGAGUCUUCAAGAAAUAAGAAAUUCUGUACCAUCUGAAAGUAGUUCUUGUUGGUGCCUUCAUUUAAGAAGCACUUUUAAGAAAAGGGAAUGUUUUCUGAUUUAAAACUUCAUUUAGUACAGGUUCUUAAUAAAAUUACAAAAAUGCUGAUUGUAAAGGGUAACAUCAAAUUAGCAAAGGAUAAUGUAUUGUUUUAGGAUUUGUGAGUAGACAGAUAAGAGCUCUAUUUUAAAUACAAGUUUUAU